GAUGAACGCUAGCGGCAGGCCUAACACAUGCAAGUCGAGGGGUAGAAGUUGCUUGCAACUUUGAGACCGGCGCACGGGUGCGUAACGCGUAUGCAAUCUACCUUGUACAGAGGGAUAGCCCAGAGAAAUUUGGAUUAAUACCUCAUAGUAUUAUUGAGUGGCAUCACUUGAUUAUUAAAGUUCCAACGGUACAAGAUGAGCAUGCGUCCUAUUAGCUAGAUGGUAAGGUAACGGCUUACCAUGGCUACGAUAGGUAGGGGUCCUGAGAGGGAGAUCCCCCAAACUGGUACUGAGACACGGACCAGACUCCUACGGGAGGCAGCAGUGAGGAAUAUUGGUCAAUGGGCGCAAGCCUGAACCAGUUAUGUUGCGUGCAGGAAGACGGUCCUAUGGAUUGUAAACUGCUUUUGUACGGGAAGAAACACUCCGACGUGUCGGAGCUUGACGGUACCGUAAGAAUAAGGAUCGGCUAACUCCGUGCCAGCAGCCGCAGUAAAAC
rnacentral:rRNA from 1 species